rnacentral:rRNA from 1 species
CCUACGGGUGGCAGCAGUGGGGAAUAUUGCACAAUGGGGGAAACCCUGAUGCAGCGACGCCGCGUGAGUGAAGAAGUAUUUCGGUACGUAAAGCUCUAUCAGCAGGGAAGAAGAUGACGGUACCUGACUAAUAAGCCCCGGCUAACUACGUGCCAGCAGCCGCGGUAAUACGGAGGGGGCAAGCGUUAUCCGGAUUUACUGGGUGUAAAGGGAGCGUAGACGGCAGGGCAAGUCUGGAGUGAAAGCCCGGGGCCCAACCCCGGGACUGCUUUGGAAACUGGCAUGCUAGAGUGCUGGAGAGGGAAGCGGAAUUCCUAGUGUAGCGGUGAAAUGCGUAGAUAUUAGGAGGAACACCAGUGGCGAAGGCGGCUUACUGGACAGUAACUGACGUUGAGGUUCGAAAGCGUGGGGAGCAAACAGGAUUAGAUACCCGUGUAGUC